GCAGUCCCAUAUUUUUACCGAGAAAACUGUAUGGACACACUACCAAAAUGAUUGCAGAUCGAAGUGGGGCGUCCUGGAAGAGAUGUCAGUACGGGUUGGAAAUGACUCAGAAGCCUGAGACAAGACAAAUCAUAUCGUGAGAAUGAGGUAACCGAGACCCAAAGAAGUGACCUGCCCAGAAGACAGCUAGUGGAAUCAGGACUAGAACCCAAGUCCUCUGUGUCUCUCCUUCCACCUUGUCAAACUGCAGCUUUCCAAGGAAAGUCACCAUGACUCUGGGAGUUUGGUGAAGGCUUGAACUGACUUCUAUCAACUCUGUUUAUGCUCUCCCAAGUGCUUAGUACAGUGCUCUGCACACAGUAAGUAC